GUGUCCGUAGCUCAGCCGGAUAGAGCAACGGCCUUCUAAGCCGUGGGUCGGGGGUUCGAAUCCCUUCGGGCACG
rnacentral:tRNA from 1 species